rnacentral:rRNA from 1 species
UGGGGAAUAUUGGACAAUGGGCGAAAGCCUGAUCCAGCCAUGCCGCGUGUGUGAAGAAGGUCUUCGGAUUGUAAAGCACUUUAAGUUGGGAGGAAGGGCAGUAAAUUAAUACUUUGCUGUUUUGACGUUACCGACAGAAUAAGCACCGGCUAACUCUGUGCCAGCAGCCGCGGUAAUACAGAGGGUGCAAGCGUUAAUCGGAAUUACUGGGCGUAAAGCGCGCGUAGGUGGUUCGUUAAGUUGGAUGUGAAAUCCCCGGGC